rnacentral:rRNA from 1 species
CGUCUGCCCUGUGACAAUAGUUCAACGGCCGCGGUAUUUUGACCGUGCAAAGGUAGCGCAAUCACUUGUCUUUUAAAUGAAGACCUGUAUGAAUGGCACGACGAGGGCUUAACUGUCUCCUUUUUCCAGUCAAUGAAAUUGAUCUUUCCGUGCAGAAGCGGGAAUAUAACCAUAAGACGAGAAGACCCUAUGGAGCUUUAGACACAAGACAGAUCUUGUUAAACAUCUCAAAACAAAGAGACAAACAAAAAGAACCCUGCCCCAAUGUCUUUGGUUGGGGCGACCACGGGGAAACAAAUAACCCCCAUGCGGACUGAGAAAACAAUUCUCACAACCAAGAGCUACCGCUCUAAUUAACAGAAACUCUGACCUUAAGAUCCGGCAAUGCCGAUCAACGAACCGAGUUACCCUAGGGAUAACAGCGCAAUCCCCUUCUAGAGUCCAUAUCGACAAGGGGGUUUACGACCUCGAUGUUGGAUCAGGACAUCCUAAUGGUGCAGCAGCUAUUAAGGGUUCGUUUGUUCAACGA